rnacentral:tRNA from 1 species
AUUUAAAUAGUUUAAUAAAAAUAUUGAUUUGUGGAGUCAAAGAUAUGAAUAAAUUCAUUUUAGAUC